rnacentral:rRNA from 1 species
CCUACGGGUGGCUGCAGUGGGGAAUAUUGCACAAUGGGCGCAAGCCUGAUGCAGCCAUGCCGCGUGUGUGAAGAAGGCCUUCGGGUUGUAAAGCACUUUCAGCGGGGAGGAAGGCGGUGAGGUUAAUAACCUCAUCGAUUGACGUUACCCGCAGAAGAAGCACCGGCUAACUCCGUGCCAGCAGCCGCGGUAAUACAGAGGGUGCAAGCGUUAAUCGGAAUUACUGGGCGUAAAGCGCACGCAGGCGGUCUGUCAAGUCGGAUGUGAAAUCCCCGGGCUCAGCCUGGGAACUGCAUUCGAAACUGGCAGGCUAGAGUCUUGUAGAGGGGGGUAGAAUUCCAGGUGUAGCGGUGAAAUGCGUAGAGAUCUGGAGGAAUACCGGUGGCGAAGGCGGCCCCCUGGACAAAGACUGACGCUCAGGUGCGAAAGCGUGGGGAGCAAACAGGAUUAGAUACCCAUGUAGUC